rnacentral:misc_RNA from 1 species
GAUGAAGAACGUAGUAAAAUGCGAUAAUUAAUGUGAAUUGCAGAAUUCAGUGAAUCAUCGAAUCUUUGAACGCACAUUGCGCCCGUCGGCAUUCCGGCGGGCACGCCUGUCCGAGCGUCAUCAGGAACCCAUCGGGCGGUCCCCUCGGGGACCGCCCGGCGUUGGGGCGCGCCGCCCGCGCCGUCAGGCGAAAGGCGGCGGCCCUCGAACCCAUCGGCGGUGCAUCGACGCGAGACCGACCGGCGUUGCGGAAUCGUCAAUCCGCCGGCGGCCGUCGAAGCUCCCUUCCGAAAGCUCCACGAGACGAAAAGGACCUCGGAUCAGGCGGGGUUACCCGCUGAACUUAAGCAUAUCAAUAAGCGGAGGA